rnacentral:lncRNA from 1 species
AAAGUAAUUGCAGCUGGUUAACAUUAAAGCCAGAACUAGAACCCAGAGCUUCUGGUUCCAACCUUGGCCAGAGUCUUUGUGUUGUUUUUAUUUCCCUUAGCCUCACUGUCUAGAACAGUGUAUGGGAAGUAAAAUAAAAUUGAUUUUUUAAAAAUGCAUUAUUUUUAAUUGUUUUAUUAUUUUAGAGACAGAGUCUUGCUAUGUUGCCAAGGCUGGAGUGAAGUCUCAUAAUCAUGGUUCACUGUGAACUCGAUCUCCACAGCUCAAGGGAUCCUCCUGCUUCAGCAUCCCAACUAGCCAGGAAUGCAGAUCAGCCAUAUUCUAACAAUACAUUUCAAAGUACUGCUGACGGAGGCUCCACCUGAAACCUGUUCUCUCAGAUAAGUAUCUUCAUCCCAUUCAUCGUUUCAAGAAAAAUAAAUAAAUAAAUCUUACAGCACGGCAGCAUUUUCAUCUGCUUUGGUUUCAGCCAGAGAUAAACUGUUCCUGCUGCAAAGUAAUUAAUAUCAGUCGCCUGGAAAGCAGAAAUUGGGAGACAACAGGCUCCUCUUUCUUGAUAAACAGAUUGUUGGGUAAGGUAUGCACAUGGAUGUGACAAUUCAUUUGGCCAUAGAAAUAGCAGAAAUGAGACGUUUUUAGACAGAUAUUUGGAAGGCAUGAGCAAAUAUCCCCAGGCUUCAUCCAUUUGAGCUCAGAUGAGUCUUUUGCGCUAGGUUUUGAGCUUCUCUAAGUCCCUAGGAUCAGCAGAAAUCUCUAGACCCCCCAGGGGUGUACCCUUAAAACAAUACGCAGAAUCAGUACGAUCAUGGCCAACUCCUGGGAAAGCUGGCUCUAUGCCCGAGUCCUUUGCAGCCCCCGCCUUCCUGACCCAACUUCCCAUGUGACUAAGGAAUCAAAAACUUGGCCUAGUUGAUAUAUAAUCCAGGCAAUCAGAAAUUAGAACCGUGCGGCUAGGAAAGAUGAGCAAAAGAUGCUUAGAAACAAGACAAGCAGAAAACAACCUCCCCAGAGCUAUCCUGUGUGGGGAAACCUCCAAAAGCUAGGGAAAGACAGCGUAUGUUUUGUAUGGUCCAGGAGGAGCAAGCUCAUCAUGGCUGCCUGCAAAUGAAGAAAUCAUGUUUCUGUCAUAGCAAAAUGGUUAUGUUUUGGAGUGUUCUGUGAAUGAGACAUGAGAGGGGAAACGCCACCACACAAGUAUUCCUUACAUUCAGUUCUUCAGAGAAGGCUUCAGGGAUCAUUUUCCCAUCUCAAAAAGCAUAAAUUGCCAUUUUAUAGGAGCUUGAGAAGAAUAUUCUAGAAGUGAUUCAGAGCCAGGACAUUUGGGGAUUUGUUUAGGUAAACAUGAAAAUUCUAUCCAUCUUUAUUCAUCCAUCCCAGCAGUCAGCCAGCAUCCUUACAAACUCAAAGGGCAAAGUAAAGGUAAAGAAAUAAUUUAGAAUAUACUAUUAUCAGUGCUGUGAUAGGUUAAUGUGCAGGAGAGACAAUAAAGGAGUGAGUUCUACAAGUCUGGGGACAGGGAGUGAGGAGAGAUGGGUCAGGAAAGUUUUUAUUGAGCAAACACUUGGACUAAGUAAUUGAACAAUGUAAGUGUUUAUAAGCGGGUAGAUUAGCAAAAACUUGGAUACUCUCAACUCCAGGAGAGAUCCAGGAAAAGAGAGAGUUGUACUAUUUCUGCUCGUCCCAUUGCCUAAUUCUACAUGUCAGGGGCCAGCUCAGGCCAUAUAGAUCCCUUAGAGCCUUCACUGAACUUCCUCCCUCCUUAGUAAAUUUUUUUUUCCCACAGAUCUUGAGACAUUUAUUAGUUAUACACUAAUUACCUUAUGUACAUCCACCAGACUGCAAAUUGCUUGAGGACAGGGUCUCUUAUUAAUUCAUUUCUACCACAUUGGUGACUAAAACAAUGUCUGGGAUACAGUAGGUGAGCUUUUUAAAGUUUGUUGAAUACUAUCUAUGUCUCCACAAUUGAUUAGAAGUUUCUUGAAGGCAGGAAGAACAUUAUUUAUCCUUUCUAUGCCUGGCACAGGGCUCAAAGUGAAUGUUCAAUAAACGUUUAAUGAACAAGGAGCCCACUGAAAUUUCCACAUGAUAGUGAAAUUGAUGGCACACUCACUAUUUGUCCUUUCUCUGAGCACCUAGUGUCACUUCU